UACGUAGGGUGCGAGCGUUAAUCGGAAUUACUGGGCGUAAAGUGUGCGCAGGCGGCCGCGCAAGUCGAGUGUGAAAGCCCCGAGCUUAACUUGGGAAUUGCGCUCGAAACUACGUGGCUGGAGUGUGGCAGAGGAAGGUGGAAUUCCAGGUGUAGCGGUGAAAUGCGUAGAGAUCUGGAGGAACACCGAUGGCGAAGGCAGCCUUCUGGGCCAACACUGACGCUCAUGCACGAAAGCCGUGGGGAGCAAACAGG
rnacentral:rRNA from 1 species